rnacentral:other from 1 species
GGCUCCCUGCCGUGUUCGUGAUAGCUGGCUGUGUCUUGAGCCAACACCCUUGUCACGGGUGCCACAAUAGAGCGAUGGACCGCCGCUGGUCUCACAGCAGCGCAAAGUCGUUCUGAGGCGCCCUGGCUUAUAUCGGGGUUCAUAGACCUGUCGCUGCACGGCACGUGCGGGGUUUUG